UACGAAGGGGGCUAGCGUUGUUCGGAUUUACUGGGCGUAAAGCGCACGUAGGCGGUCUGUUGCGUCGGCUGUGAAAACCCGGGGCUCAACCCCGGGCCUGCAGCCGAUACGGGCAGACUAGAGUUCGGCAGGGGAGACUGGAAUUCCUGGUGUAGCGGUGAAAUGCGCAGAUAUCAGGAGGAACACCGGUGGCGAAGGCGGGUCUCUGGGCCGAUACUGACGCUGAGGAGCGAAAGCGUGGGGAGCGAACAGG
rnacentral:rRNA from 1 species